rnacentral:rRNA from 1 species
CCUACGGGAGGCAGCAGUGAGGAAUAGUGGUCAAUGGGCGCGAGCCUGAACCAGCCAAGUAGCGUGAAGGAUGACUGCCCUACGGGUUGUAAACUUCUUUUAUAAAGGAAUAAAGUGAGGCACGUGGGCCUUUUUGUAUGUACUUGAUGAAUAAGGAUCGGCUAACUCCGUGCCAGCAGCCGCGGUAAUACGGAGGAUCCGAGCGGUAUCCGGAUUUAUUGGGUUUAAAGGGAGCGUAGAUGGGUUGUUAAGGCAGUUGUGCAAGUUUGCGGCUAAACCGUCAAAUUGCAAUUGAUACUGGCAGUCUUGAGUACAGUUGAGGUAGGCGGCAUUCGUGGUGUAGCGG